rnacentral:rRNA from 1 species
CCUUUGACGUUAGCGGCGGACGGGUGAGUAACACGUGGGUAACCUACCUAUAAGACUGGGAUAACUUCGGGAAACCGGAGCUAAUACCGGAUAAUAUUUCGAACCGCAUGGUUCGAUAGUGAAAGGUGGUUUUGCUAUCACUUAUAGAUGGACCCGCGCCGUAUUAGCUAGUUGGUAAGGUAACGGCUUACCAAGGCGACGAUACGUAGCCUACCUGAGAGGGUGAUCGGCCACACUGGAACUGAGACACGGUCCAGACUCCUACGGGAGGCAGCAGCA